CCUACGGGAGGCAGCAGUGGGGAAUAUUGCACAAUGGGGGAAACCCUGAUGCAGCAACGCCGCGUGAGUGAUGACGGCCUUCGGGUUGUAAAGCCCCGUCUGCAGGGACGAGAAGGACGGUACCUGAGGAGGAAGGCACGGCUAACGACGUGCCAGCAGCCGCGGACAUACGGAGGGGGCGAGCGUUGACCGGAUUUACUGGGCGUAAAGGGAGCGUAGGCGGACUUUUCAGUGAGAUGUGAAAUACUCGGGCUCAACUUGAGUGCUGCAUUUCAAACUGGAAGUCUAGAGUGCAGGAGAGGUGACUGGCAUUCCUAGUGUAGCGGUUCAAUGCGUCGAUAUUAGGAAGAACACCAGUGGCGCAGGCGAUUCUCUGGACUGUAACUGACGCUGAGGCUCGAAAGCGUGGGGAGCAAACAGGAUUAGAUACCCUUGUAGUC
rnacentral:rRNA from 1 species